rnacentral:rRNA from 1 species
UUAAGUGAACAAGGGCAUACGGCGGAUGCCUUGGCGCCAAGAGCCGAUGAAGGACGCGGUAAGCUGCGAAAAGGCAUGGGUAGGAGCAAGCAUCCUGUGAUCCAUGCAUAUCCGAAUGGGGCAACCCACCAUCAGUCAUGUGAUGGUACGAAAGAGGCAGACCUGGGGAACUGAAACAUCUAAGUACCCAGAGGAAAAGUAAUCAAUUGAGAUUCCCUAAGUAGCGGCGAGCGAAAGGGGAAGAGCCCAAACCAUGAAACUUCGGUUUUGUGGGGUUGAGGACCGGCAUAAAGAGAAAACUUCUUAGUCGAAUGGUUUGGAAAGGCCAUGCACAGAAGGUAAAACACCUGUAGGCGAAAAGAAGUCAAUCGGGCUGGUAUCCAGAGUACUGCGAGACACGUGAAACCUUGCAGGAAGCAGGGGGGACCACCCUCCAAGGCAAAAUACUACUUGGCGACCGAUAGCGCAUAGUACCGUGAGGGAAAGGUGAAAAGAACCCCGGGAGGGGAGUGAAAUAGAACCUGAAACCGUAUGUCUACAAGCAGUCGAAGCACCUUAAGAGUGCGACGGCGUGCCUAUUGAAGAAUGAACCGGCGAGUUACAUUAUGUUGCGAGGUUAAGUGGGAGACACGGAGCCGAAGCGAAAGCGAGUCUUAAUAGGGCGACUAGUAACAUGGUGUAGACCCGAAACCGCAGUGAUCUAUCCAUGGUCAGGUUGAAGCGCAGGUAAAAAUGCGUGGAGGACCGAACCCGUGAGUGUUGAAAAACUUUGGGAUGAACCGUGGAUAGGGGUGAAAUGCCAAUCGAACGCGGAGAUAGCUGGUACUCCCCGAAAUAGCUUUAGGGCUAGCCUCAGGGAAGAUUAUAGACGGUAGAGCACUGAUCUGGCAAGGGGGCGUAAAGCCUACCGACCCUAGUCAAACUUCGAAUGGCUAUAAUUAAGACCCUGGGAGUCAGACUGCGAGUGAUAAGACCCGUAGUCAAGAGGGAAACAGCCCAGACCGCCGACUAAGGUCCCCAAUGCUGUACUAAGUGGAAAAGGAUGUAAGACUUCAUAAACAACCAGGAUGUUGGCUUAGAAGCAGCCACCAUUAAAAGAGUGCGUAAUAGCUCACUGGUCGAGAGGCCUUGCGCCGAAGAUGUCCGGGGCUCAAGUACAGAACCGAAGUCGCGGCAGGAUUAUAUAAUUCUGGGUAGGGGAGCGUUGUAUAUCCGACUGAAGGUGUACCGGAAGGAGCGCUGGAGGAUAUACAAGAGAGAAUGCCGGUAUGAGUAGCGAAAAGAACAGUGAGAAUCUGUUCCACCGAAAGCCUAAGGUUUCCUGAGCAACGCUCGUCGACUCAGGGUAAGUCGGGACCUAAGCCGAGGCAAAAAGCAUAGGCGAUGGACAACAGGUUAAUAUUCCUGUACCGCUUCAAAUCGUUUGAGCAAUGGAGUGACACAGAAGGUAGCUUGAGCACGCGAAUGGAUGUGCGUGUCGAAGGUGGUAGGUUGCAGUAUAGGUAAAUCCGUACUGUAUAAGACCGAGAACUGAUAGAUAGACGAUACUUCGGUAAAGUCAAAUUCAAGUGAGCCAUGCUGUCGAGAAAAGCUUCUAGUGAGAGAUGAGGCGCCCGUACCGAAACCGACACAGGUAGGCGGGGAGAGAAUCCUAAGGUGCGCGGGACAACCCUCGUUAAGGAACUCGGCAAAUUGUAUCCGUAACUUAGGGAUAAGGAUAGCCGGAGGAUGUGAAGGGAUUUACUUCUGGAGCGUCAGCCGGUGGCACAAGAGAGGCCCAAGCGACUGUUUAGCACAAACACAGGUGCCUGCAAAAGAGAAAUCUGACGUAUAGGUGCUGACACCUGCCCGGUGCUGGAAGGUUAAGAGGAGGGCUUAGAGGAAACUCGAAGGCUUGAAUUGAAGCCCCAGUAAACGGCGGCCGUAACUAUAACGGUCCUAAGGUAGCGAAAUUCCUUGUCGGGUAAGUUCC